rnacentral:lncRNA from 1 species
AUGCUAAUCCUAAUUACAAUCUGUCACAAUAAAACCCCACAACAUGACUUUAAGCUAAGCCCUAACCCUAACCUGGNCCUGAAUCAUGAUGUCCUCACGCUGACCACAGCCCUGGUCCUGACCCCACUCACAGCCCGGACUCCACCUUUCCCUGGCUCCCUGCAGUCGCUCUUCAAACUCCUCCUCCCCCCCUGUAGUUGUGCAACUGCAGCCCCUGCUCCCUGUGUGACAGCUGCCACUCAAAGUCAAGCCCACCCCCUGUGUGACAAGCUCAGGUACGUGACAUCACCUGAGAGACCUGCAGGGAUAAACCAUCGACAGCAGCACAUUUCAGCCUCGCAUGCUGGACUCACCAAGGGUGACCGAUGCACCACAGUCACAGAUACCACCCCAGGAAACACCCCUGGUCCUCCCACAAGGGCAGCGCUGCUUCACAGAGACCAUUACCCAGGUACAGAGGGGAUCCCAGCCGCUCCACAGUCUAACCCCGCUUCUGUAUCAUACCUGGAGGCAGGCAUGGUGGCUCAGCGCAGGACUCCCAACACCUAGAGUGGGGACCAGAGGCCCAGGCUCCUUGCCUUUGCCUGGCUGCGUCCUGGCACUGUGGGCACUGCGGUAGUGAGUCAGGGUGUGGAAGACUCUCUCUCUCUCGCUCUCUGUUUCUCUCUGUUUCCCUCCCUCUCUCUAUCACUCUCCCUUUCCUAUAAAAUACACGAGUGUUUUAGGAAAAGGGAGAGAAUUUCCUCUACAUGACAGUGUUAGGGCAAACACUGCCCUCCGUGCCUCCCUGCAAGCUCUGAGCUGAGUUGAGGGUCAGGGCAGGGGCACCCUGGUCCCCUCUGGUCCAGCUCUGCAGUGCACGUCCAAACACUGAGGCAACGUCUCAAUAAGGGCACACCAGGGUGCCGAGCUGGUGAAUGCACAUGGCCACACACACGGCGCUACCCACGGCCACGCAGCCACCCCAGCCAGGAAUGUCCAGCCCACGGCCACGCAUCCCACGCCAGGAAUGAACUGUCAGGAAAGUUGACAGACUCUCAGGAAGGGCCCAGCAGUGAUGCGCUCAGGAGCGAGCGUGGGCUGGGGGGAGUCACACUGGGAACCGCAGAGCAUCAGGGAAUGGUCACAGAAAAUCCAGAUAAACGCAGAGACGGAGCUCACUCGCAGUGCGACACCUGGGGCUUUGUGAAACGCAGCACGGAGCUGACGGGCAUCACAGCCUCGGACACACGGCCGUGCACUGGGAAAUCACCUGAGACAUGAACUUCCAGGGACACCGAGUGGCCAGAGUAGUCCCGGAAACAGAAACCUAAGUGAGGAGACUGACACUGCCCCAUUCCAGACCCCGACACGCAGUGACGAUCAGGGGAGUGAGAAGUGGCACAAACAGGAAGAUCCAGGGAACCCCACAGAGCAUAGAAAUAAAGCCCCGUCCAUGGGGACUGACCUCUGACCU